UACAGAGGGUGCUAGCGUUGUUCGGAAUCAUUGGGCGUAAAGGGCGUGUAGGCGGUUUGUUAAGUCAUGUGUGAAAUCCCUCGGCUCAACCGGGGAACGACGCAUGAAACUGGCAAGCUAGAGUACCAAAGAGGGGGGUGGAAUUCCCGGUGUAGCGGUGAAAUGCGUAGAUAUCGGGAGGAACCCCUGUGGCGAAGGCGGCCCCCUGGUUGGAUACUGACGCUGAGACGCGAAAGCGUGGGGAGCAAACAGG
rnacentral:rRNA from 1 species